rnacentral:rRNA from 1 species
AGUGAUGAAGUUUUCGGAUCGUAAAACUCUGUUGUUAGGGAAGAACAAGUACGGAGUAACUGCCGGUACCUUGACGGUACCUAACCAGAAAGCCACGGCUAACUACGUGCCAGCAGGCGGUAAUACGUAGGUAAGCGUUGUCCAAUUAUUGGGCGUAAAGCGCGCGCAGGCCGUUCUUUAAGUCUGAUGUGAAAGCCCACGGCUCAACCUGGAGGGUCAUUGGAAACUGGGGAACUUGAGUGCAGAAGAGGAAAGUGGAAUUCCAAGUGUAGCGGUAAAAUGCGUAGAGAUUUGGAGGAACACCAGUGGCGAAGGCGAGUCUCUGGUCUGUAACUGAUGUUGAGGCGCGAAAGCGUGGGGAGCAAACAGGAUUAGAUACGCUGGUAGUCCGAGCCGUAAAUGAUGAGUGGUAAGUGUUAGAGGGUUUCCGCCAUUUAGUGGUGCAGCAAAGGCAUUAAGCACUCUGUUUGGAGAGUAAGACCGCAAGGUUGAAACUCAAAGGAAUGGACGAGGGCCGGCACAAGCGGUGGAGCAUAUGGAUUAAUUUGAAGCAACGUGAAGAACAUUAACAGGUGUCAACAUCUUCCACCAAUCUUAGAGAUAGGACGUUGCCAUUUGGGGGACAGAGUGACAGGUGGUGCAUGGUGGUAGUCAGCUGGCGUCGAGUGAGAUAGGGGUUAGUCCCGCACAGCGGACAACCCUGAAUCGAAAUCGCCAUCAUUCAGCGGGGCGUUGCUAAGUCAGAGCCUGGUGCCAAAGCGGACGGAAGGUGGGGAUGACGUCAAAUCAUCAUGCCCCUUAUGACCUGGGCUACACACGUGCUACAAUGGAUGGUACAAAGGGCUGCAAGACCGCGAGGUUUAGCCAAUCCCAUAAAACCAUUUCAGUUCGGAUUUAGGCUGCAACUCGCCUACAUGAAGCCGGAAUCGCUAGUAAUCGCGGAUCAGCAUGCCGCGGUGAAUACGCCCGGGCCUUGUACACACCGCCCGUCACACCACGGAGUUUGUAACACCCGAAGUCGGUGGGGUCCUUUUGGAGCCAGCCGCCUAAGGUGGGAAGUCAGAUGAUGGGGUGAAGUCGUAACAA